rnacentral:rRNA from 1 species
UACGAAGGGGGCUAGCGUUGCUCGGAAUCACUGGGCGUAAAGCGCACGUAGGCGGCUUCUUAAGUCAGGGGUGAAAUCCUGGAGCUCAACUCCAGAACUGCCUUUGAUACUGAGGAGCUUGAGUCCGGGAGAGGUGAGUGGAACUGCGAGUGUAGAGGUGAAAUUCGUAGAUAUUCGCAAGAACACCAGUGGCGAAGGCGGCUCACUGGCCCGGUACUGACGCUGAGGUGCGAAACGUGGG